rnacentral:rRNA from 1 species
GGCUACGGCCAUAUCACGAUGAAUGCACCUCAUCCCGUCCGAUUUGAGAAGUUAAGCAUCGUCGAGCCAGGAACCUGUGGUGCUGUAGUCU